UACGUAGGGUGCGAGCGUUAAUCGGAAUUACUGGGCGUAAAGGGUGCGUAGGCGGUUCGUUAAGUCUGUCGUGAAAUCCCCGGGCUCAACCUGGGAAUGGCGAUGGAUACUGGCGAGCUAGAGUGUGUCAGAGGAUGGUGGAAUUCCCGGUGUAGCAGUGAAAUGCGUAGAGAUCGGGAGGAACACCAGUGGCGAAGGCGGCCUUCUGGACCAAUACUGACGCUCAUGCACGAAAGCGUGGGGAGCAAACAGG
rnacentral:rRNA from 1 species